rnacentral:lncRNA from 1 species
CGACUAUCAGUCCCUUUUCCAUUCUGAGAGAUGUCUUGGGCAAUUAAAAUUUAAACAAAUCUUUGAGUCUUGCUAUGUUCAGGGAAAUUUUGAAGAGUCCAAUGAGCAAUUCGUCUAAGACCAAGAGGUUUCAGGAAAAAAAGCCUAGAGAUUGAGACCUUGAUGCGGAAAAUGGUUGUUUCGUAGGUCUCAUGAGACAGGAGGGACCUGAAUACUUGCCAUGGCUACUUUUUGGAUAUUCACAGGAUUAAACGAUCGUUGGGAGAAGACGGAGAUGCUGCCAUCAAACAUAUGUAAAAGUAUGGUAUUCACAGGAUUAAGAGGACUUGCUUGGAUAACUCAACAAACAUAUGUAUAAGUAUGGUAUCUUUGUUGAUUUUAAUUGCUACUAUCGUACGAUAGACAUGUUUUGGUUUUCUUUUUUUUUUUCUUUUUUUUUAUGUAAUACAUUGGACAAAAUCUGAUCACUGUUUAUUGAAUUGAUUAUAUUGAUUAUCUGAUAAUUAUUUUUGAAUGGAAU